rnacentral:rRNA from 1 species
GGGGCGCAGCCUGAUCCAGCCAUGCCGCGUGUCUGAAGAAGGCCUUCGGGUUGUAAAGGACUUUUGUUCGGGAGGAAAUCCCGCUGGUUAAUACCUGGCGGGGAUGACAGUACCGGAAGAAUAAGCACCGGCUAACUACGUGCCAGCAGCCGCGGUAAUACGUAGGGUGCAAGCGUUAAUCGGAAUUACUGGGCGUAAAGCGUGCGCAGGCGGUUGUGCAAGUCUGAUGUGAAAGCCCCGGGCUCAACCUGGGAACGGCAUUGGAGACUGCACGACUAGAGUGCGUCAGAGGGGGGUAGAAUUCCGCGUGUAGCAGUGAAAUGCGUAGAGAUGCGGAGGAAUACCGAUGGCGAAGGCAGCCCCCUGGGAUGACACUGACGCUCAUGCACGAAAGCGUGGGGAGCAAACAGGAUUAGAUACCCUGGUAGUCCACGCCCUAAACGAUGUCAACUAGCUGUUGGGGGUUUGAAUCCUUGGUAGCGUAGCUAACGCGUGAAGUUGACCGCCUGGGGAGUACGGCCGCAAGGUUAAAACUCAAAUGAAUUGACAGA